AUAUAAUUUGAAGAAAAAAAAAAAAGAAUUCUAUUAAUUUUCAUUUUCCAUUUAUUUAGUUAGUUUUUCUUAAUGAAAUUGAAAUUAUUAAAGAGGGCAAAUAAAAAUAAAGAAACAACUUUGCUGACCAUGAUAUAUUUUUAUCUAGGCGGAAGAGUCCUCUUAAUAUUUAUCUAGUCUUAUAUAGGUUUCGGUAUAUUGAAAUAUAAACAUAAAAAAGAAGAUAAAGGAUAGGCUCAUUACUUAAAAAAAGAUAUGGAAAUAGCUAUAGAAAAAAAAUAAGGAGCGUGAGAGCCAAAUGAAUCGAAAGAUUCAUGUUUGGUUCGGGAAGAGAUCAUAAAAGUUGUAAACUUACAAAAUAAUCUACUUUCAUUAAAAGAUUUAUUAGAUAAUCGAAAACAGAGGAUCUUGAGUACUAUUCGAAAUUCAGAAGAAUUGCGUAGAGGGACCAUUGAGCAACU